GAUGAACGCUGGCGGCGUGCCUAAUACAUGCAAGUCGAGCGAACCGAUCAGGAGCUUGCUCCCUAGACGUUAGCGGCGGAGGGGUGCGUAACACGUGGAUAACCUACCUAUAAGACUGGGAUAACUUCGGGAAACCGGAGCUAAUACCGGAUAACAUAUUGACCUGGAUGGUUCCAUCGUUAAAUGCGGUUUUGCUGUCAGUUAUAGCUGGAUCCGCGCCGUAUUAGCUAGUUGGUAAGGUAACGGCUUACCAAGGCGACGAUAGGUAGCCGACCUGAGAGGGUGAUCGGCCACACUGGAACUGAGACACGGUCCAGACUCCUACGGGAGGCAGCAGUAGGGAAUUUUGCGCAAUGGGCGAAAGCCUGACGGAGCAACGCCGCGUGAGUGAUGAAGGCCUUCGGGUCGUAAAACUCUGUUAUCAGGGAAGAACAAAAGUGUAAGUAACUCUGCACAUCAUGACGGUACCUGAAGAAAAAGCCACGGCUAACUACGUG
rnacentral:rRNA from 1 species